rnacentral:rRNA from 1 species
AGCGUAGGCGGUCUUUUAAGUUAGAAGUGAAAUCCCAAGGCUUAACCUUGGUGCUGCUUCUAAGACUGAAGGACUGGAGUGCAGGAGAGGUAAGUGGAAUUCCUAGUGUAGCGGUGGAAUGCGUAGAUAUUAGGAGGAACACCAGUGGCGAAGGCGACUUACUGGACUGUAACUGACGCUGAGGCUCGAAAGCGUGGGGAGCAAACAGGAUUAGAUACCCUGGUAGUCCACGCCGUAAACGAUGGAUACUAGAUAUGGGAGGUAUCGACUCCUUCCGUGUCGGAGUUAACACAAUAAGUAUCCCGCCUGGGGAGUACGGCCGCAAGGUUGAA